GUGGGGAAUCUUGCGCAAUGGGCGAAAGCCUGACGCAGCCAUGCCGCGUGAAUGAUGAAGGUCUUAGGAUUGUAAAAUUCUUUCACCGGGGACGAUAAUGACGGUACCCGGAGAAGAAGCCCCGGCUAACUUCGUGCCAGCAGCCGCGGUAAUACGAAGGGGGCUAGCGUUGCUCGGAAUUACUGGGCGUAAAGGGCGCGUAGGCGGACAGUUUAGUCAGAGGUGAAAGCCCAGGGCUCAACCAUGGAAUUGCCUUUGAUACUGGCUGUCUUGAGUUUGGGAGAGGUGAGUGGAACUCCGAGUGUAGAGGUGAAAGUCGUAGAUAUUCGGAAGAACACCAGUGGCGAAGGCGACUCACUGGCCCAAUACUGACGCUGAGGCGCGAAAGCGUGGGGAGCAAACAGGAUUAGAUACCCGGGUAGUCC
rnacentral:rRNA from 1 species